GAUGGCUAUCUUCCACUGAAGUAUUCUGGAGGAAGCUGUGGGAAGAAAAUUGGUGGAUUUUAUUAUUGAAAUAAGCAGAUGGAUCUGAGAACGCUGUCUGGGCUUGGUACCAAGAGCUGGUAUUUCACAGCAGCGACCGCCUCACAGACGAGCUGUGGGAAGCAGGAGGGAGACUCUCUCUUAGGGUGCCACUACUAUGGAGACACAGCUGGGCUGAACAAGAUUUGCUUCAAACGACAACAAGAGAGACAGAAAGUAUCUGGUUCAACCGCUGCCCGAGCAGGCAGGCACCAGAAGAGCUAGCAGCCAAUCCGGCCAUGCUCGAAGCCAGCUCUGCAGCUCAGCCAAUCAGUGACAUCAUUGCUUUCUUUAGCUUGCCCAUGGUGAUGUGAAGAUGAGAAGAAAUAGCAAGGCCCAACCAGUUCUUCAUCUGGAGACAGUUCAACGUUCUGCAAACCAGAUCUUCAGGAAUUUUACUGGGAUAAUUAUCCAAAUAAAUUGCAAGCAUUCUAUCCAAAUGGAGCUCUUUCUGAGAUGAAGAGAAUUCUCAAUGUCAAGAUUUGAACAAGAAGAGAAUGGAAUACACAAUAUGGACAUCCAUAAAAAUUCAUCAGAGAGCAUUUUACUACUGAGCUGCAAAGGGAAAAACUUAAAAUGGAUAUGAAAAGUGAAGAAAGUGAUCAUAGGAGAAAACCAUUUCAGGUGUCUGAUGAUUUGUGAGCCUCAAGUGACUACUCUGUGGAAUCAUCUGUCCUUGCCUUUGAAUUAGCUUUCCCUAGGCCAUGAGUCAACAUUAGUAGUUUAUACAUCCAAAUUGAUGACAAGAGCACCUCAAAGGCAGCAGCCUCAAGGAGCAGCCAUGGCCCCAGACUUGUCGCACGGAUGCAGAAAACUUAAUGGAGGAGGCUGAGCAAAACAGAGCGUGACACUCCCAAUCAUCUGCAUGCUGGAAAUGAGGAAAUGGUUAUUGAAUGAUACAAGUGCUUUUCGAUCAUUUAGAAAGUUCUGUUUCCCAAGAUCUUUUUUUUUUUUUUUUUUUUUGAGACGGUGUCUUGCUCUGUCACCCAGGCUGGAGUGCAGUGGCGCGAUCUCGGCUCACCACAACCUCCACCUCCUGGGUUCAAGCGAUUCUCCUGCCUCAGCCUCCCGCGUGGCUGAGACUACAGGCAUGUGCCACCAUGCCCGGCUAAUUUUUGUAUUUUUAGUAGAGACAGGGUUUCACUAUGUUGGCCAGGCUGGUCUCAAACUCCUGACCUCGUGAUCCGCCCGCCUUGGACUCCCAAAGUGCUGGGAUUACAGUUGUGAGCCACUGUGCCCGGCCUAGCAAGAUCACUUUUUAAGUAUCCAGAAAGCUCUUUCUUAUGUUGAAUUAUGUCCAGAGGCAUAACUAGACUGAAGGUUUAGACUCCAUUCAUUCUCCUAUGUUUUUGUUCUUAACUGCAUUCUGCAGUCAAAUCAGGAGCUUUAGAAAAUACUGAUGCCUGGCUCUCAACCAGAGAGAACUGAACUGAAUUGGUCUGGUGAAUUCAUUAAAAGAGCUAACAACAAUGAAGUUAAUGUACGCAUCUCACCUCUCAAGAGUAUUAACAGGCCAGGCGUGUUGGCUCAUACCUGUAAUCCCAGCACUUUGGGAGGCCAAGGCGGGCGGAUCACCCAAGAAUGGGAUAACUGCCUGGCACUCACCAAGCUACACUUGAAGAGGAUCAAUCCAUGUCAUCAUGUCCCCAAUUUCAUAGCACCAAGUAUUUUGUUUAUUCACAAAUGCCCUAUUAUGGACAUCUAGCAAACAAUGAUACAUCAGAAAAGGAGAUGUGCAUAAAUUUUCAUGGAAUAAGGUUGUGGAAAAUGCACUAGAAUCAACAAACAUGGGGACUAAUUCAACUCGGAUAUCAUGUCUUCAGAGAAGUUUCUCCUGCCCUCCUCUCCCUGUAGAAUUAAGUAUUCUUCCACUGUGCCACCCUCUAACUUGUGCUCAUAUCUUCCUCUAUUGUAGUUAUGUGUUCACAUCCCUGUUGUUUUUGUACCGGCUUCUCCCAAAGGGAGACAUUUAGUCUUAUUCUUCUUGGUAACUUUAGCACAGACCUGGCAGAUUGUUGACACUCAACAAAUGUUUAUUGACUCAAAUGCAUUCAGUUGAACAUUGACCUUUGAUCAACUCUGGGAAAAGUCUGCAAAGCUAGUUAGGACAUUCAGAAAUUCAUUUCAUUUCAAUCCUAACUAAAUAAAUUAUUGAAGUCUCAGAACUUCUCAGUACUUGAUUUAGACACAUAGAAACUUGGGUAAAUAACACCUAUAUUGUUAUAUUCCUCAAGAAAAAGUUUAUCUUUUCAUGAAAUGAAUCUACUGAGGAUAUUUAUAGAAACUGAAUGUAAGUGAGCAGAAUAAAGUGGUGUGUGUGUGUGUGUGUGUGUGUGUGUAUGUAAUUUGAAGAGUAGGUGGGAGAAGGUUGUGAUAGGAUAGCAGAUCUUGUUUAUGAUAGUCACCAGCUAUAACAGACACUGCCUGAUGCCUUUCCAAUAUCCACUUCCCUUUUCUUUUUUUUCUUUUUGGAACAGAGUCUCACUCUGUCCCCCAGGCUGGAGUGCAACAGCACGAUCUCGGCUUACUGCAUCCUCUGCCUCCUGGGUUCAAGCAAUUCUCAUGCCUCAGCCUCCCUAGUAGCUGGGAUUACAGGCUCUCGCCACCACGCCCAGCUAAUUUUUGUGUUUUUAGUAGAGACGGGGUUUCGCCAUGUUGGCCAGGCUAGUCUUGAACUCCUGACCUCAGGUGAUCCACCUGCCUCAGCCUCUCUAAGUGCUGGGAUUACAGGCGUGAGCCACCGUGCCUGGCUCUCUUUUCUUACUUAAUGUCUGUGUCAAUUAAAUAGAAAUGUAUCAAGUUAAAAACCUUGCCUCGGUAGCUUCCAGUGCAAAUAAAGGUACCCAUGCCACCCCAUUCUGGCCAGCAGUAAAAUUGAUGGAAGCCUCUGGUUGGGGCUUCAAGGAAAGCUUUAUCAAAAGAUAAACUCACUGGCUUUGUCCCUUAGUUCAGUGGUCCCCAACCUUUUUGGCACCAAGAGACCAGUUUUGUGGAAGACAAUUUUUUCCAUGGACCAGGAGGGUUCCGGGGGAUGGUUUUGGGAUGAAAAUGUUUCACCUUAGAUAUCAUCGGGCAUUCAAUUCUCAUAAGGAGCCUGCAACCUAGACCUCUCACAUGUGCAGUUCACAAUAGGGUUCAUGCUCCUAUGAGAAUCUAAUGCCACUGCUGAUCUGACAGGAGGCAGAGCUCAGGCAGUAAUGCUCACUAGUUCCGUUGCUCGCCUCCUGCUGUGCAGCCCAGUUCCUAACAGGACACAGACCAGUACUGGUUCGCAACCCAGGGUUUGGGGGCCCCUGUCUUAGUUCCUUUGCCUUCCUUCCAGAUGGAUGCCUGGAGGAACAAUCAUCCCGCAAUUGUGAAAAUUGAAGCCAUAUUUUAAAGUUGGUUUCAAUUGUAAUACAGAAGAAAUCUGGACCUUGAUGACAUUUGAGCUAGAGUACUAAUCUUGAUCUUCCUAUUCAUGAGCUUGUUGCAAGAGACAAGACUUUUACUGAUUUAACUCAUUGUUGGGAUUUCUUGGAACUAAACACAGUCAUAAUACAUUUUUUCCUUCCCAGGAAAAUGGUAGAGCAUGACUUUUCAAAUCUAAUAAAACUCAUGUGUAGCUAAAACCACUCUACUGAAACAAUUCCAUCUCAGCCCAUGGUACAAGGGAUUUUCCUGAAUGAAAAAUGGUGUCUGAUCAUUUUGUUGGUUUCUUUGUUGGUUUUUCCUGAAACUUAGGGUUAAAGAAUCCAGGAAAGUUGUCUUAGAUAGAGUUAUAAUUUCCGUGGACAUCAACUGAUAAAUGCAAUUACAGUUUGUAUGCCUAGGUUUGGCAAAAAUCAUAUAAGCAACAUCCCUCACAUAAUAUUGUUUUAAUUAAAUUUUAUUUCUUUCUUGGUAUGAAACAUACUGCAGAAGCACAAUCAAUGAACAUUGGAUAGUUUCCUUAAAUCUUGCUCUUUGUCCUAUUUAUAUAAUUUAUUGUGUCAGUGGUUCUCAAGUGGUAUGCUCCUGCAACUCAUCAUCUGAAAAUCCUUCCCAGAUGUGCUGAAAAAUUUUCAUUAAUUUGUAUAUUCUAUUUUAUUUUUAUAACUAAGUACACAUGCUUGUGACUGGAAGAGAAGACACCCCUCAUUUAAUCCCAGAGGAAUAUUUGGCCUUGAUUCAUGCCCUGCUCACUCCACCCCAUUAUUAAGAUAGAGAUCGCUGAAGAAAUCCCUGCUCUAUAAAUGUAGCUGAUCCAAAAACAAAAUGGAAAUUCAUUAUUUUAAAUAUUUCUACAAGAUCUUUGUACAACUCUAUUUUUUUUUCCUAUUAAGAAUUACAUGAUUCUAGAAUAAGUUCCAACCCUAAGUAUCAACACUGGAACACAAUUUUAAAACAGGAGGCGAUUAUCUCUAUAGUGAGAUUUAACUACAGAGGUGAUAGCUCUGGUUAGUGAAUUUCAGGACUAGAAAUCAGGCCUGCUGUCUCUUAGCUUAGAGGAGGUAUAAUAAGAAGAGGAUUAGAACUACUGUGUAUAUUAACAAGAAGAACUCUAUUAUGUUCAGCUAUCAUUAUAUAUGAUAUUAUGUUUCUUUUUAUGAACUAUAGUUCACUGUCUUUAAGCAUAAUGUUUGCCCAAGGUGGGGGUGUUGGUGUGUGUCUGUGUGUAUAUGCAUGUGUGCACAUGUGUGUAUGUAUAGUUGAUUCAUUCAUUCUGACCUACUGAAUUUACUGAAGGAAUAAGAAGAAAUACCUUGAACUGAGGGACCUGGCUUAGCUCAACAUCUGUACCAUCUACCUUUGAGUAUCCAUUCCUUUACUAUGAAGCAUGGAUGCUAAAACUAAAAUUGCAUUUGCUAAACUACUUUGUAGCUAGAUUCCUGGGUGAGAUUAGAUUUGGUCAAUUAGAUGUUCUUGUGUAACAUUUAGAAGGUGAUAGUAAGGCAAAGGUCAUGUGACUGGCUGAUUUUAUUUAUGUUCAAUGAUCUUUAUUGGGGUACACUUUAUAUAUAAUAAUAAAUAAUGCACACAUUUUAAGUGUACAAUUUGAUGAGUUCUGACAAAUUUAUAUGCAUGUAUAACCAGCAUCAAUAUCAAGAUAUAUAAUGAUCCCCUCAUUCCAGAAUAGUCUCUUGUGUUCUUUCCAGCCAAUGCCCCACCCCUGGAUUCUGGCAACAAUUGAUCUGCUUUUUAUUACCAUGGAUUAUAUUUGUCUUUCCUAGAGAUACAAAUAAAUGAAAUAAUGUAGUGUGUCCUCUUUAACUUUGGCUUAUUUCUCUCGGCACACUAUUUCUGAAAUUUGUCCAUACUGUUGAUAUGGCAGACAGAAUUUUAAGAUGGUUCCUAAAAUUCUUGCCUCCUGGUAUGUAUAAUUUUCUCUCGGUUUUCCGCUGAACACUAACCUAGGUGCUAUUGUAAAGGGAUUUCUCAAGUGUAAUUAAAGUCCCUAAUAAGUUUAUUUUAAGUUAGAAAAAUUUUCCCAGGUGAGCUUGAGCUAAGUGAGUGACCUAAGCAGGUGAGUUGUUAGAAAAAAAUUAAGAGAUAUUUGAAGCGUAGACAAAAUUCUGUUGGCUUUUAAAAGAAAACUUCCAUGUGAUAGAGAAAGCCAGAUGAUAGGGAACACAAGGUUACCUCUAAAUUGACAACCAGCAAAAAAGCUGAGACUUCAGUCUUAUCAUCAUAAGGAAUUGAAUUCUGUCAACAGCCACGUGACCUUAGAGGAGGCCCCUGAGCCGCAGAUGAGAUCAUGGCCCUGGCCAAUACCUUAAAUUCAUCCUGGUGAGAUAUGAGCAGAGAACUCAGCUAUGCCAUGCUCAGAUUUCUCACCUGUAGAGCAGUAAAUUAAUAAGUGAGCAUUAUUUGAAGCUGCUAAGUUUGUGGUGAUUUGUUACACAUCAAGAGAAAACAUAUGCUGUAUAUAUUAUUAGAUUUUUCCUUUAUAUUGGUGGGUGUAUUUGUUAUCUAUUACUUCCUAACAAAUCGACAAUAAUUAAGUGUCUUAAGACAACACAUAUUUAUUACCUCAUAGUUUCUGUGGGUCAGAAAUCUGGGCAUGGUUUAUGUGAGUUCUUUGAUUUAAAGUUGUUGGCAAAUCUGUAAACAAGGAAGCAGUCAGGACCGAGGUCUCAUCUGAAAGUCAACUUGGGAUGGGUCUGCUUCCAGCCUCACUUAACAUAACAGCUGGCAGGAUUCAGUUGCUCUUGGGUAGUUGGAUUGAUGGCCUCAGAUAACUAGGUAGCUAUUAGCUAGAUUUCACCCUCAGUUUGUUGCCGUGUGGGCCUCCCUAAGGUGGCAAUUUACUUCAUCAAAACCAGCAAGGGAGAGAGUUGGCUACAAUCUCUAGUAAUGUAGCUACAGAAAUGACAUCCCCUUAGCAAUGAGAUAUUUUAUUAAUUAGAAAGAAAUUACUCAACAGGAGGGGAUUACACAAUGUAGUGAAUACCAGGAGGCUGAGAUCAGAAGGAGCUAGUGUAGAAGCUGCCUACCACAGUGAGUAGUAUUCUAUUACAUGAAUAUACCAGAAUGUCUGAAUCCACCCAACUGGGCAUAGACGUUUGUGUUCAUUCAAGAUACAGACUAUUAUUAUUUUAAAAAUAAAAGUUACUAUGAACAUUUAAGUAUAAGCUUUUGUGUGGGCGUGUUUCAUUUGUUUUGAAUGAAAUUGCAGGGUCGCAUAGAAAAUGCAUAUUUAAUCUUAUAAGAAGCUGCUUAAAAUGCUUUGCAAUGUGAUUUUACCAUUUUACACUCCCAACAAUGUAUAGCAAUAUAUCAUAGAUCUAGUGGUUUCAUAUCUCCACAAACACUUGAUAUUGUCACUCAGUUUAAUUGUAGCUACUUAAAUAGGCUUAUAAUGGUACUCGUUAUGAUUUUAAUAUGCAUUUCCCUAAUGCCUAUUAGGGACUAAUUAUGUUAAGCAUCUUUUCAUGUAUUUGGAGGCCAUUUGUGUACCUUCAUUUGUAAAAUAUCUGUUUAAGUAGCUUGCCCAUUUGGAUUGCUUUACAUUUUAUUAUAGAGUCAUAAGCAUCCUUUAUAUAUUCUGAAUAUAACUCUUUUAUCAGACAUACAUAUAUAUCAAAUAUUUUUUUCUAAGUUUGUGGUUUGUGUUUUUACUUUUUAUACUGUUUAUUGAAUAGUAGAUUUUAUAUUCAUUUUAUCCAUUCUGUUAUGAUCGAUAUUUUUUGAACUAUGAAAAUAUUGCUAUGUAAAAAUAAAAAAUAUAUUUUCAUCCCGAGUUUCAUAAUUUUAGCUUUCACUCUUAUAUCUGUGAUUCAUUCUGAGUUUUCUUGUAUAGUUUAAAGUCAGAGUGGGUGUUUGUUUGCUUAUUAAUAUAUUUAUAGAUAUUUCUAAUUCUUUCUAGCACCAUUUAUUAAAAAGUCUCUUUUUUUACCCAUUGAAUUAUUUUUUUUAAAUUGUUAUGUCUAAAAUCAAAUUACCAAAUACACAUUGUCUAUUUUGAACUAUUUAUUCUGUUUCAUUGAUUUUUAUGUGUUCCUUUACACCAAUAUCAUUGUCUUAAUUACUGUAGAUUUGUUGGAAAUAUGGGAGUCAAAUUUAAGGAUUUCAAUUUUGUCCUUUUAUCAAGUUGUUUUGGCUGUUCUAGGUCCUUUGCAUUUCCCUAUAACAUUUGGAAUUAGGUUGUCAAUAUUUCCCCAGAAUAAAGCCUGCUGGGAUUUUGAACAGGAUUGCAUGGAAUCUAUAAAUCAAUUUAGUGAGAAUUAAUAACAUAUUAAGUACUCUAAUUGAUGAACAUAGUAUCAUCUUCCAUUUAUUUAGUCUUUGACUUCUCGGAAAUGUUUUAUAGUUUUCAGUGUGUAGGUCUUGAAGUUUGUAAAAUUCUAAGUGUUUUAUGGUUUUGACUGUAAUUGUAAAUACCUCCCAUUGUUCAUUGUUAGUACAUAGAAAUAAAAUAAAUUUUGUAUUAAUUUGUCUCAUGCAAUCUUCUAUACUCACUUCUUUCCAAUAGUUUUAUGUGGAAUUCUUAG
rnacentral:lncRNA from 10 species